UACGAACUGUGCAAACGUUAUUCGGAAUCACUGGGCUUACAGGGUGCGUAGGCGGUCUGUUAGUAGGGUGUGAAAGCCCCCGGCUCAACCGGGGAAUUGCGCCCUAAACUGGCGGACUGGAGUGAGAUAGGGGUGUGCGGAACUUCCGGUGGAGCGGUGAAAUGUGUUGAUAUCGGAAGGAACGCCGGUGGCGAAAGCGGCACACUGGAUCUCAACUGACGCUGAGGCACGAAAGCCAGGGGAGCGAACGGG
rnacentral:rRNA from 1 species